CCUCCCAAAGUGCUGGGAUUACAGGCGUGAGCCACUGUGCCCGGCCAAUAUGACCUUUUUAAGAAAAAAAGACCGCAGUCCGUAAAUAUAAGGGCAUAAAGCAGGACCAUAAUCACAUACAUGCUGACUGUGUGUUGAGAGCAGUUUCUGAGGCUUACUGCCGGCAGGGUCACAGUGAGAAGGGCCUCUAAUUUGGGUGGUGCCUUCUGGAAACCAAGUUGGUAUGGAUCACGUCCAUACAAGACACUGCAAACUGGGACCAUUGCUUCCACUCCUAAGAAGCUGUCUGGCAUUCUGGUAGACGCUGGUUUUCCUCCACCGUUCCUGGCUGACCCUUCCAGGAGAGGUCCCACCUAAGCCCUGGGGGCAGGAAUGCUGACAUCAGGAAGCUUCCGUAAAAUCCCAAGAGGACUGAGGCUCAGGGAACUUCUGGACAGGGGAACACCUGGAGGUUCCCAGAGGGCGGCAACUAGCGAGGACAUGGAAGCGCCAGCCCCUCCCCGUGCCUCUCUCUACGCUUCUUCAUUGGUAUCCUUUGCAAUCAAUACCCUUUACAAUAAACCAGUAAACGUCAUAA